GCGAGUGUGGGCUAAUUGGUAUGCUAUCGGUCUCCAAAACCGUAUGAUCUUCGUCCGACUCGAAGCACUCGUGCCA
rnacentral:tRNA from 1 species